rnacentral:rRNA from 1 species
UACGUAGGGGGCAAGCGUUGUCCGGAUUUAUUGGGACGUAAAGGAGCGAUGUAGGCGGCUAGGGUAGGUUCCGUUGUGAAAACGUCGAGGUUCAAACCUCCGGAGACGCCGGAAUGGAAACCAUCUGGUCUAGAGUCCGGAAAGUGGAGAGUGGAAGUUCCGUGGUGUAGCGGUGAAAUGCGCAGAUAUCAGGAAGAACACCCGUGGCUAAGGCGGCUCUCCUAGUACGGUACUGAGCUGAGACGCGAAAGCGUGGGGAGCAAACAGG